rnacentral:rRNA from 1 species
CCCUUAGAUGUUCUGGGCUGCACGCGCGCUACACUGAUGCGCUCAACGAGUUUACGACCUUGCCCGGAAGGGUUGGGUAAUCUUUUUAAAACGCAUCGUGAUGGGGAUAGAUUAUUGCAAUUAUUAAUCUUUAACGAGGAAUUCCUAGUAAGCGCGAGUCAUCAGCUCGUGCUGAUUACGUCCCUGCCCUUUGUACACACCGCCCGUCGCUCCUACCGAUUUAGUGAUCCGGUGAAUAAUUCGGACUGCAGCAGUGUUCAGUUCCUGAACGUUGCAGCGGAAAGUUUAGUGAACCUUAUCACUUAGAGGAAGGAGAAGUCGUAACA